rnacentral:rRNA from 1 species
AAAAGCUCGUAGUUGGAUCUCGGGUCCAGGCUCGCGGUUCGCCUCGCGGCGAUUACUGCCCGUCCUGACCUACCUCCCGGUUUUCCCUUGGUGCUCUUCGUUGAGUGCUUCGGGUGGCCGGAACGUUUACUUUGAAAAAAUUAGAGUGCUCAAAGCAGGCGGACUGCCUGAAUAAUCGCGCAUGGAAUAAUGGAAUAGGACCUCGGUUCUAUUUUGUUGGUUUUCGGAACUCGAGGUAAUGAUUAAAAGGGACAGACGGGGGCAUUCGUAUUACGGUGUUAGAGGUGAAAUUCUUGGAUCGCCGUAAGACGAACUACUGCGAAAGCAUUUGCCAAGAAUGUUUUCAUUAAUCAAGAACGAAAGUCAGAGGUUCGAAGACGAUCAGAUACCGUCGUAGUUCUGACCAUAAACGAUGCCAACUGGCGAUCCGCGGGCGUUGAUUAUAUGACCCCGCGGGCAGCCUCCGGGAAACCAAAGUUUUUGGGUUCCGGGGGAAGUAUGGUUGCAAAGCUGAAACU